CCUACGGGAGGCAGCAGUGGGGAAUUUUGGACAAUGGGGGCAACCCUGAUCCAGCAAUGCCGCGUGAGUGAAGAAGGCCUUCGGGUUGUAAAGCUCUUUUGUCAGGGAAGAAACGGUUCUGGUUAAUACCUGGGGCCAAUGACGGUACCUGAAGAAUAAGCACCGGCUAACUACGUGCCAGCAGCCGCGGUAAUACGUAGGGUGCAAGCGUUAAUCGGAAUUACUGGGCGUAAAGCGUGCGCAGGCGGUUGUGCAAGACCGAUGUGAAAUCCCCGGGCUUAACCUGGGAAUGGCAUUGGUGACUGUACGGCUAGAGUGUGUCAGAGGGGGGUAGAAUUCCACGUGUAGCAGUGAAAUGCGUAGAGAUGUGGAGGAAUACCGAUGGCGAAGGCAGCCCCCUGGGAUAACACUGACGCUCAUGCACGAAAGCGUGGGGAGCAAACAGGAUUAGAUACCCUGGUAGUCCACGCCCUAAACGAUGUCUACUAGUUGUCGGGUCUUACAUUGACUUGGUAACGCAGCUAACGCGUGAAGUAGACCGCCUGGGGAGUACGGUCGCAAGAUUAAAACUCAAAGGAAUUGACGG
rnacentral:rRNA from 1 species